rnacentral:rRNA from 1 species
GACAGAGGAUGCAAGCGUUAUCCGGAAUGAUUGGGCGUAAAGCGUCUGUAGGUGGCUUUUUAAGUCCGCCGUCAAAUCCCAGGGCUCAACCCUGGACAGGCGGUGGAAACUACCAAGCUGGAGUACGGUAGGGGCAGAGGGAAUUUCCGGUGGAGCGGUGAAAGUGCGUAGAGAUCGGAAAGAACACCGAUGGCGAAGGCACUUUACUGGGCUAUUACUGACACUGAGAGACGAAAGCUAGGGGAGCGAAUGGG